rnacentral:rRNA from 1 species
CGGGUGCACUGAUCCGGCCGGGCCUUUCCCUCUGUGGAACCCCAUGGCCUUCACUGGCUGUGCCGGGGAAACAGGACUUUUACUGUGAAAAAAUUAGAGUGCUCCAGGCAGGCCUAUGCUAGAAUACAUUAGCACGGAAUAAUAGAAUAGGACGCGUGGUUCUAUUUUGUUGGUUUCUAGGACCGCGGUAAUGAUUAAUAGGGACAGUCGGGGGCAUCAGUAUUCAAUGGUCAGAGGUGAAAUUCUUGGAUCUAUUGAAGACUAACUACUGCGAAAGCAUUUGCCAAGGAUGUUUUCAUUGAUAAGGAAAGAAAGUUAGGGGAUCGAAGACGAUCAGAUACCGUCGUAGUCUUAACUAUAAACUAUGCCGACUAGGGAUCGGACGAUGUUAUUUCUUGAAGCGUUCGGCACCUUUUGAGAAAUCAAAAGUGCUUGGGCUCCAGGGGGAGUAUGGUGGCAAGGCUGAAAGUUAAACAAAUUGACGGAAGGGCACCACCAGGGGUGGAACAUGCGGGUUAAUUUGACUCAACACGGGGAAACUCACCAGGUCCAGACACAAUGAGGAUUGACAGAUUGAGAGCUCUUUCUUGAUUCUGUGGGUGGUGGUGCAUGGCCGUUCUUAGUUGGUGGAGUGAUUUGUCUGGUUACUUGCGUUAACGAACGAGACCUUAACAUGCUAAAUAGCCCGUACUGCUCUGGCAGUUCGCCGGCUUCUUAGAGGGACUAUCGG